rfam:Gorilla gorilla gorilla genomic chromosome, chr20, whole genome shotgun sequence
GCCAGGCGUGGUGGCGCAUGCCUGUGGUCCCAGCUACUCAGGAGGCUGAGAUGGAAGGAUUGCUUGAGCCUGGGAAGUUGCGGCUGCAGUGAGCUGUGAUUGUGCCACUGCACUCCAGCCUGGGCAACAGAGUAAGACCCUGUCUCAA